CUCCUACGGGAGGCAGCAGUGGGGAAUCUUGCACAAUGGAGGAAACUCUGAUGCAGCGACGCCGCGUGAGCGAUGAAGCCCUUCGGGGUGUAAAGCUCUUUCGACGGGAACGAUAAUGACGGUACCCGGAGAAGAAGCUGCGGCUAACUACGUGCCAGCAGCCGCGGUAAUACGUAGGCAGCAAGCGUUGUUCGGAAUUACUGGGCGUAAAGAGUGUGUAGGUGGUGUUCCAAGUUUGUCGUGAAAUCUCCCGGCUUAACUGGGAGGGUGCGGCGAAAACUGGAAUGCUUGAGGAUGGGAGAGGAAAGCGGAAUUCCUGGUGUAGCGGUGAAAUGCGUAGAUAUCAGGAGGAACACCCGUGGUGUAGACAGCUUUCUGGACCAUUUCUGACACUGAGACACGAAAGCGUGGGUAGCAAACAGGAUUAGAUACCCUGGUAGUCCACGCCCUAAACGAUGCAUACUUGGUGUGAGCGAUUCAUUUCGUUCGUGCCGGAGCUAACGCGUUAAGU
rnacentral:rRNA from 1 species